AAAUAAAUAUUAAAAAGCAAUAGAGUGAGCCAUGGGGUCUCCAACUGCAUGCCAGAGUAACUGGAGAGACUUUGACAGCCCUGGCCAGCACAGUGCCUGCAGCUGCCACUCGACUUUCCUAUAUAU